UACAGAGGUGGCAAGCGUUGUUCGGAAUUACUGGGCGUAAAGGGCGCGUAGGCGGUCUUCUAAGUCUUGUGUGAAAUCCCUCGGCUCAACUGAGGAACUGCACGGGAUACUGGAAGACUUGAGUUCGGGAGAGGGAAGCGGAAUUCCGGGUGUAGCGGUGAAAUGCGUAGAUAUCCGGAGGAACACCGAUGGCGAAGGCAGGUCUCUGGGCCACUACUGACGCUGAGAAGCGAAAGCGUGGGGAGUGAACAGG
rnacentral:rRNA from 1 species